rnacentral:rRNA from 1 species
CGGACGGGGUGAGUAACACGUGGACAAUCUGCCCCCCGGCCGGGAUUAGCCCAGGGAAACCUGGAUUAAUACCGGAUGAGACGGGGACCCGCGAUGGCGGGACCCGGGAAAGGCGCUGCGGCGCCGCCGGGGGAUGAGUCUGCGUCCCAUUAGCUAGACGGCGGGGUAACGGCCCACCGUGGCGACGAUGGGUAGCCGGCCUGAGAGGGUGGACGGCCACAUUGGAACUGAGACACGGUCCAGACUCCUACGGGAGGCAGCAGCUAAGAAUCUUCCGCAAUGGGCGAAAGCCUGACGGAGCGACGACCCGCGUGAACGAAGAAGGCCGUGAGGUUGUAAAGUUCUUUUCGGGAGGGGGAACAACCGUGGCAGGGAAUGGCCGCGGGAUGACGUGAAUCCCGGAAUAAGCCCCGGCUAACUACGUGCCAGCAGCUGC